UUUGAUAGACACCUUAUCUGUCGACUUAUCAUUUUUCUUCUUCUUCUUUCUUUCUCCGAAGAAUAGAUGAGUCUCUCUAUCGCCAUCUCUGACUCUGAGUCUCGUUCACUUCUUCUUCAUCAUUAUAUCUAAGUCAGUGAAUCACCACCACCGCCUUCUUCUUCAACACCAACACAUACAAAUUACCAUCAGCAAAGAAAAAUCAUCUACUUCACCUUCUUCAAUCUGCAACAAUAUGGGUUUUUUGUUUUCUUAGAUCUGAGAAAAUUAGGGUUUCUUUUGAUUUACUGGUUUCUUUUGAAUCAGUUAACAAUAAGGGUUCAAUGGAGCAUUUGAGAGAAUUUGAAAACAUGGAUUGCUUUCAGAAUCGCUGUCAUGGGAACUCAUCUGUGGAUGUUGUUGAUAUUUCUGUGUGAAUAGUUUGUUUUCGUAAAGAGAAAACAGGCUACGAAGAGAAUUGGGAAUUUAAAAUUGAGAAGAGGAUUCAGUGGUUGAAUGUUAGUUUAAUCUUUUAACUGAUUCAGUGAUUGAAUGUUACUUUAAUCUUUCAACCGAUUCAAUAGUUCAAUGUUAGUUUAAUCUUUUAUGGGUUUGAUUCAUCUGUUAA